UCGGCCACACUGGGAACUGAGACACGGCCCAGACCUCUACGGGAGGCAGCAGUAGGGAAUCUUCCGCAAUGGACGAAAGUCUGACGGAGCAACGCCGCGUGAGUGAUGAAGGUUUUCGGAUCGUAAAGCUCUGUUGUUAGGRAAGAACAAGUACCGUUCRAAUAGGGSGUACCUUGACGGUACCUAACCAGAAAGCCACGGCUAACUACGUGCCAGCAGCCGCGGUAAUACGUAGGUGGCAAGCGUUGUCCGGAAUUAUUGGGCGUAAAGGGCUCGCAGGCGGUUUCUUAAGUCUGAUGUGAAAGCCCCCGGCUCAACCGGGGAGGGUCAUUGGAAACUGGGGAACUUGAGUGCAGAAGAGGAGAGUGGAAUUCCACGUGUAGCGGUGAAAUGCGUAGAGAUGUGGAGGAACACCAGUGGCGAAGGCGACUCUCUGGUCUGUAACUGACGCUGAGGAGCGAAAGCGUGGGGAGCGAACAGGAUUAGAUACCCUGGUAGUCCACGCCGUAAACGAUGAGUGCUAAGUGUUAGGGGGUUUCCGCCCCUUAGUGCUG
rnacentral:rRNA from 1 species